rnacentral:rRNA from 1 species
UACAGAGGUCUCAAGCGUUGUUCGGAUUCAUUGGGCGUAAAGGGUGCGUAGGCGGCGCGGUAAGUCGGGUGUGAAAUCUCGGAGCUUAACUCCGAAACUGCAUUCGAUACUGCCGUGCUUGAGGACUGGAGAGGAGACUGGAAUUUACGGUGUAGCGGUGAAAUGCGUAGAUAUCUGGAGGAACACCGGUGGCGAAGGCGGCAUCCUGGACCAAUACUGACACUGAAAAGCGAAAGCCAGGGGAGCAAACGGG